rnacentral:ncRNA from 1 species
GUGAUAGAGGCGCGGCUUUGAUGAGUAUUUCCUUUUGCUAUGACCGCCCGGUCGAAUGGAAAGAAAGGCAACGCCGCCGAAGAGGACGGAACGGCAUCCGCUUCUCUGGUCGGACUGCUGAACAAGGAUUCGACUGUCGCCGGAGAUCCCGGCGAAGCGCUAUCAG